rnacentral:tRNA from 1 species
GGUCUCAUAGCUCAGUAGGUAGAGCAAAGGACUGAAAAUCCUUGUGUCGCUGGUUCGAUUCCGGCUGAGACCACCA